GGCUGAUUAGCUUGUUGGUGAGGUAAUGGCUCACCAAGGCGACGAUCAGUAUCUGGUUUGAGAGGGACGAUCAGACACACUGGAACUGAGACACGGUCCAGACUCCUACGGGAGGCAGCAGUAGGGAAUUUUCCGCAAUGGGCGAAAGCCUGACGGAGCAAUCUCGCGUGAGGGAUGACGGCCUAUGGGUUGUAAACCUCUUUUUUCAGGGAGGAAUAACUGACGUGUACCUGAAGAAUAAGCAUCGGCUAACUCCGUGCCAGCAGCCGCGGUAAGACGGAGGAUGCAAGUGUUAUCCGGAAUCACUGGGCGUAAAGCGUCUGUAGGUGGUUUAAUAAGUCAACUGUUAAAUCUUAAAGCUUAACUUUGAAAUCGCAGUCGAAACUAUUAGACUAGAGUAUAGUAGGGGUAAAGGGAAUUUCCAGUGGAGCGGUGAAAUGCGUAGAGAUUGGAAAGAACACCGAUGGCGAAGGCACUUUACUGGGCUAUCACUAACACUCAGAGACGAAAGCUAGGGUAGCAAAUGGGAUUAGAUACCCCAGUAGUCCUAGCCGUAAACAAUGGAUACUAGAUGUUGAACAGAUCGACCUGUGCAGUAUCAAAGCUAACGCGUUAAGUAUCCCGCCUGGGAAGUAUGCUCGCAAGAGUGAAACUCAAAGGAAUUGACGAAUUAGUGCGUGGUGAGACAGGUUAGUUUUACCCUACUGAUGAGUUGGUUGUCGCGACAGUAAUCCAACUUAGUACGAGAGGAACCGUUGGUUCGGAUAUUUGGUAAUGCGGUUGGCUGAACAGCCAAUGCCGCGAAGCUAUCAUCCGUAGGAUUAUGACUGAACGCCUCUAAGUCAGAAUCCAUGCUGGUAAGCGACGAUAUUCACCUCGACUGGUGUUUUAGUACCAAUAGCCUUUGGUCAACACGCUAUUUCAAAGUAUUACCGAAUGUUGGUCGAGUUAAAUCCUCU
rnacentral:rRNA from 1 species